rnacentral:rRNA from 1 species
AGUGAACGCUGGCGGUAGGCCUAACACAUGCAAGUCGAACGGCAGCACAGUAAGAGCUUGCUCUUACGGGUGGCGAGUGGCGGACGGGUGAGGAAUACAUCGGAAUCUACUUUUUUGUGGGGGAUAACGUAGGGAAACUUACGCUAAUACCGCAUACGACCUACGGGUGAAAGCAGGGGAUCUUCGGACCUUGCGCGAUUGAAUGAGCCGAUGUCGGAUUAGCUAGUUGGCGGGGUAAAGGCCCACCAAGGCGACGAUCCGUAGCUGGUCUGAGAGGAUGAUCAGCCACACUGGAACUGAGACACGGUCCAGACUCCUACGGGAGGCAGCAGUGGGGAAUAUUGGACAAUGGGCGCAAGCCUGAUCCAGCCAUACCGCGUGGGUGAAGAAGGCCUUCGGGUUGUAAAGCCCUUUUGUUGGGAAAGAAAAGCAGCAGGUUAAUACCCCGCUGUUCUGACGGUACCAAAAGAAUAAGCACCGGCUAACUUCGUG